UACGGGGGGUGCGAGCGUUGUCCGGAAUCACUGGGCGUAAAGAGCUCGUAGGCGGUUUGUCGCGUCUGCUGUGAAAACCGGAGGCUCAACCUCCGGCCUGCAGUGGGUACGGGCAAACUAGAGUGCGGUAGGGGAGAUUGGAAUUCCUGGUGUAGCGGUGGAAUGCGCAGAUAUCAGGAGGAACACCGGUGGCGAAGGCGGGUCUCUGGGCCGAUAUUGACGCUGAGGAGCGAAAGCGUGGGGAGCGAACAGG
rnacentral:rRNA from 1 species